rnacentral:lncRNA from 1 species
CCCUCUCCCUUUUCCCUCCCUCCCUCCCUCUCUCCCAGGCUCUGAUCACUUGAACUGUUUUCUAGGGCAAAGAGCAGGAAGCUGCCGGCAUAUGCUGGUGACCUAUUGGGGCAGCUUUGUUUGAGGAAUGCUGCUGCCAUUCAGGCUUGUCUGAGGUUAUCUGGGAAAUGUAACUGGGCUGGAGACAAGAGACAAAGGUAAGGCUGCAGACGGGAUUCUGGGAAGAACACCGAUGGAGGAGGAAGCCGGGAGGUCCGCCUACCAACCAAGGCUGAUCCAGUGCCUAAUGGAAUGUGGCUGACAGGCGAGAAGCAAGGCUACUUCUCCAAGCCUGGGCUCAGGGGCCGCAUCUGGGUUGCUCAGAGGCUAAGUUCAUCGGGGCAGGGAUUGCUUACACCUUGAACAGGGCCCAGAGAAGUGACACUGUGCACCACUCAAGGUCACACAGCUAGCAGAUGCCUGUGAUCUGACAUGUACACUAGUAGUAACCCUGGAUCGCUGAGCCUCUGGAGAAAGCCACGGGAGUGAGGCCAGGCUGAGGCCCAUUUUUCCCAGGAGCAAUGUUGAGCCUUAUCUUCCUCUUAGCAAUCCACCCUUAGGUGGGCUUUGCUUUGAGGCACAGAGCUGAGAGACAUCGGAUUCAACUGAUGCAACCUCCCAUCACAGACGAGAAGCCGGGGAAGCCCCCUGUCCUGUCCAAGCCUCCUGUUAGAUUGCCACCUCAAAUGAUGCUUUUUAUAAUUCUUAAAAUCUGUCCCCGUCGUCCCCCCAAUGGAAGUGACAAAUGGAGACUUCUGGGCUGUCACAGACAGAGAAGAACUGGCUGCUGACACCCAGAGAAUAGAAACCAAAGAUACAAUAAAAACACUGCAGGAGUACCCACCCCCACGUACCCCACCCCCGCCAGCACUGCCAGGAAUUUUGAGACCCAGAAUGUACACUGUACUGAGGUUGGGAGUCCGAGGCAAUGGGAACGACAGAAAAAAAGAAACCUAACCAGAAUGCUUUGCACAGAAAAGCGACACAGGCCUAAACAAGCAGGCUCCUCAGUGAUAUUAAUAAAUAAUGAGCUAAUGAAAU